CAGCGCAGGUGAAAACAAUCGGCUGCUCCUGUUGUGGCUGGCGGCAAAUGGCGGCAAAUGUCGGCAUUAUCGAUGCACAGUACCUUCUUUUAUUGUAAAUGAUCCACUCAUCUGCUAAAUUAAUGAAAAGGUGACUUGUCCAGGGUGUACCCCGCCUUCCGCCCGAUUGAAGCUGAGAUAGGCGCCAGCGCCCCCCGCAACACCAAAAGGGAAUAAGCGAUGGCGACUUGUCCAGGGUGUACCCCGCCUUCCGCCCGAUUGUAGCUGAGAUAGGCGCCAGCGCCCCCCGCGACCCCAAAAGGGAAUAAGCGGUAGAAAAUGGAUGGAUGGAUGGAUAUUUAUCUACUUUGCCAUUUUGGAGAGGGUAAUAUUGCAUAUUUUGUUUGUUUUUUUUGCAAUAAAAAACAAAAUUGUUUUUUUUUUGAGAAAUGCAAAGGGCAUAAAACAUAAAAAAAACGGAUAGAUCUGAAGAUUGUCUGAUUUAAUUAUCAUAUUAUUAAAUAUUGUUUGUAAUAUGUAAGACAAGGAAAACUAUUUUGAAGUUGUCUUUAUUUUUAAGUUAUUAUGCCAUGAUUUUACCAGUCCGGCCCACGUGUGGCCCCUGAGUUAAAAUUAGUUUAACACCCCUGAGCAUUAAAACAAACAAACCCUCAUAAGCGACAUACCAGUAUUUUUAUUUUUCUAUUAUAAUUAUAUAUGAUGGAAUUAUUCAAGUAUAAAAUUUGAGGUGAUAAAACCUUCUUGCUACGUGACACCAUAUUUACUAUCUAAGUAUAACAAACAAGUAUUAUAUAUUUAAUGUACAUAAACGUUAUUAUC